UGUAUUUAUUAGAUAAAAAACCAAUGCCCUUCGGGGCUUUUUGGUGAUUCAUGAUAACUUUACGGAUCGCAUAGCCUUGCGCUGGCGACGGUUCAUUCAAAUUUCUGCCCUAUCAACUUUCGAUGGUAAGGUAUUGGCUUACCAUGGUUUCAACGGGUAACGGGGAAUUAGGGUUCGAUUCCGGAGAGGGAGCCUGAGAAACGGCUACCACAUCCAAGGAAGGCAGCAGGCGCGCAAAUUACCCAAUCCCGACACGGGGAGGUAGUGACAAUAAAUACUGAUACAGGGCUCUUUUGGGUCUUGUAAUUGGAAUGAGUACAAUUUAAACCUCUUAACGAGGAACAAUUGGAGGGCAAGUCUGGUGCCAGCAGCCGCGGUAAUUCCAGCUCCAAUAGCGUAUAUUAAAGUUGUUGCAGUUAAAAAGCUCGUAGUUGAAACUUGGGCCUGGCUGGCGGGUCCGCCUCACCGCGUGCACUCGUCCGGCCGGGCCUUCCUUCUGAAGAACCUCAUGCCCUUCACUGGGCGUGUUGGGGAACCAGG
rnacentral:rRNA from 1 species